rnacentral:rRNA from 1 species
AUCAACCGAGAUUCCCCCAGUAGCGGCGAGCGAACGGGGAGCAGCCCAGAGCCUGAAUCAGUGUGUGUGUUAGUGGAAGCGUCUGGAAAGGCGCGCGAUACAGGGUGACAGCCCCGUACACAAAAAUGCACAUACUGUGAGCUCGAUGAGUAGGGCGGGACACGUGGUAUCCUGUCUGAAUAUGGGGGGACCAUCCUCCAAGGCUAAAUACUCCUGACUGACCGAUAGUGAACCAGUACCGUGAGGGAAAGGCGA